UGAGGGGAUAUUGGGGCAAUGGGGGAAGCCCUGACCCACGCGACGCCGCGUGAGGGAAGACGGUCUUCGGAUUGUAAACCUCUGUCUUUGGGGACGAAAAAGGACGGUACCCAAGGAGGAAAGCUCCGGCUAACUACGUGCCAGCAGCCGCGGUAAUACGUAGGGAGCGAGCGUUGUCCGGAAUUACUGGGUGUAAAGGGAGCGUAGGCGGGAAGACAAGUUGGAUGUGAAAACUGUGGGCUCAACCGACAGACUGCAUUCAAAACUGUUUUUCUUGAGUGAAGUAGAGGCAAGCGGAAUUCCUAGUGUAGCGGUGAAAUGCGUAGAUAUUAGGAGGAACACCAGUGGCGAAGGCGGCUUGCUGGGCUUUUACUGACGCUGAGGCUCGAAAGUGUGGGGAGCAAACAGGAUUAGAUACC
rnacentral:rRNA from 1 species